UUUCUAAACAAGUGUAUAUAUAUACCAGAAGAAGGAAAUCUCCAUCCAUUCCAUCCCUUCUUCUCAUAAUCUCCUCUCUUGAUUGUGAUUAAGCCUCCUCUAAUCCAUUUUAAUUUCCCUAAUCAUCUUUUCUUCAAUUGAAAAAUGAGAUUACACGCCCUAAUCCCCAUCUUCUUCGUAUUCUUAUCCGUGACACUUCUUCAUGUGGCCCAUGGCCAGACCUUAGCUCCUUCGCCCAUCCCCGAUGGCCCAGCAAGCGACGGAACGACCAUCGAUCAAGGGAUUGCUUAUGUCCUUCUACUAAUCGCCCUGGCUGUUACAUAUCUUGUCCAUUGAUUUCCACUACAUCUAUCUUGUAUCAAUAGGAUUCUUUUUGUACUUUCUCCUGUAUUUAGGAGGAUUUCUCACUUCCUUUUUUCACUAUUCAUUCUAAUAAAUUCUCCAUUUUAUUUUUUAA